UGCUGUUGCCCUAGCGUCCCAAGAGUAUAACAUUCUCUUUCUGUUACAUAGACGGAGAAGGGAUGGAUGAGUUGAUCAGGGAAGUGUAGUGCAGAGUCCUGAAGCAGAGCCCAUUGGAAUUUCUGGAAAGGAUUAAUAAUGGGGUGAAUGAAGGAUUCAUGCAGGUUCCUUGAGCUGCCUCAUAUAAGGGAUGAGCCAGGAGAUUUAAAAAAUGAAACACAGGAUUAUAAGGAUUCAGCUAUUUCUAGAAAGGAUAGAAUAUCCUGUUUAGUAGAGCAGCCUGCAAAAAACUGAACUAGAUGCUUUCUAUCUGAAGUUAUAACCUAGUAUGGUAUGGUAAAGUUAUCAGUAUGUGUGGGAUCUUGAGAGAGUUUCCCAUCUAUGUUGGAGUUACCAUUUUGAUUUUAUUGCACUAACCAUUUUUGGUUAUUUCCUUGCUUUCUUGUAAUAUUUUGUUGGCACUCAAAUUGUCUAAUAUUUGUGCUCUUUAAUUCCCUAUAUUUUUUAGAAGACACUGUCUUCAUGCAGACAUCAUUUUUGUUUUAAUACAAACUUUGUCUGACUAUUGCAUAAAAUAUUUUCUUAUUCAAAGAUUAAUGGUGUGUUUCUGGAUUGAUUAGGUGAUCUGGGACAAAACAUUAUAAGUUCUAUGCCAUUUGAAUAGAUUUGGAGUUCUGUAUUAGUGAUGUAAAUGAUGCUUUUUUUUUCCGACAGUCACAGCCAAUGUUGCCUGUUGUAAUGAGGAUAAAUAUUUAGAAGACUGUCAGAAAUUACAUGCUUUCAGAGAACGUUCAGAUGAAGGUUCUCAUUUUGAGUCAUCUACCUUCCUGGCCAUGUGAAAUAUAUGAAGUUAUUAUAUUCCGUAGAGUUUGUGUUCCUGUCUAUGUUAUAUGUCUGCAAUUCUGAAAAAGGUUAGAGUGAAAACUAGACAUGUCUUUGCAUAUGAAACCAGCAAUACUGUAUGAAGGGCCAAAUGUUGGUAAAUUAUGACAUUUGAAGGAGCUGUUCAAAUCAUCAACUUUACCUUGUUGUUUUCUUUGUUUUGUAGUUCGGAUACCUGCAAAUGUACAUUAAUAAAGCAGAGUGCUUAUAAGUUGUAGAUGUAACCAACUGUCUUAUUAAAUAAGAAACACAGAACCAAUGCAAAGAAGAAAGCCAAGAGCUCAGAGCUAAGAGAUGACACUGUCUUCAUGCAGAAAUCCUUUUUGUUUUAAUAUGGACUGUGUCUGACCAUUCCAUGAAAUAUUUUCUUAUUCAACGUUUACUGAACACACUAUCUUCACAGCAGACAUCCUUUUCUUUUUAAUAUGAACUGCAUCUGACAAUUGCCUUCAAGAUUUUCUCAUUCUGAUAAUAAUGGUGUAUAAAAUGUACAGCCUUGGAGAAGGCUCUGUCAGCAGCCUGGUUGCUUGGAAAGUGCAAAUGAAAUGUUGAGGGGAUGAGAGAAAGGACAAAAUGACAAGAAAAGGAAGCCAUGAAACUGACUAGAAAUCAAAGGUAGCAAGAUUCAAGAUAGCCUCCCUGGUGAUGUGAGUAGCAGUCCAGUCAACCUUGUUCCACAUCUAGUAUCCUCCUAUGAUUUAUGAUGCCCAGCCUACUUUCCUGUGACAUGAAAUGGACAAAGCAACGCAAUUUCUAAGAGUAAAAGCUCUGUGACCGUAAUUAUUUCCAUGAGAUAAAGAAAACCUGGUAAAGAGAAACAUUCUCACACUGUUUCUCUGUCCACCACUUACAAUUACUCAGAAGCAAACUCACAGUUAAAUACACCAAGUUAUAUGCAAAGAGUGUCUUCUGUUUUGUGCAUGUUUUACCUAAAAGCUAAUGAAGACACAUAGAUUAACACAGACUUUCUCGACAAUAAGACAUGUCUGCUCCUGGAAGCACAGAAUUACUUCAGAGAGGAGGAUGGGCAUCGAAGACACUCUAUAUGGAGUUUAUCUUCUUCUUGUCAAAAAUAGCCAUUUGGCAAGAAACUGUUCUUGCCUGGACUGCUUGAUUGACUGGACAUGCAGGACCCAUAGGAAGGUGACCACUGAACUUUGCUUGGCAAAAUGGUCCUUCCGGUUCCUGCUUCGCAAGGAAACUGCCAGACAUUCUAUAGGACACAGAGAGAAGUUACUGAGAGACUCUAGGCCUGUGGGCUGAAGACAGAUGCCCCAACUUUACAAAGGAACAUUAGGUGACUGUCCAGGCUGCCAGCUGUCUCUGUCUACUCUUGCAAGAUUCCUGAAAGUUGCUUGCAUCCUUCUUCCAUUUCUCAGGAAAUGUGAUCCUUCUUCUGAAGCCACUGCUUCAUCCUUAAUAUCUGUGAUCACUACCUCAGUCUUUCAUCAUGCACUAUCUGCAAGGAAGAUUUAUGUUGGGAAACAAUACCUGACAGAAACCAGGGAUAUAUUGCUCAUCUGCUCCUCAGAGGACCCACUAAGAAAAUGACUAGAAAGGUCACCAUGGCUCCUGAUUCUUCUGCCACUGCAACAUCCAUUGGCCUGACUGCAGGCAGCAGCCAGUCAACAGCGCCACCGCUUAACCAACAUCUGGUGCUGUACUCCAAUAGACUUUCGAGGACCUGCUGUGACUGCUGCUGCCUGCCACCUCCUCCCCCAUCCAGCAAGACUGCCAGUCCAUGAGCGUGCAUGAGUCCCUCACCUCCGCUGAAACCCCACACAGCUACCACUACUGCUACUGCCAUGGUUCUUCACCACAGUGAGUGAGUCCGCCAUUCUCAAGACUGUAGUCUGAGCUAUAUUCUUUGCGAUGGACACCCUGGGGGUUGUCCUCUGGCUGCACUGGCAAUGGCAGACAUAUUUUCGCUCCUGAUGAUGGGGUCAGUGCUGUCUCAGGUCCACCAUGGACCAACUGCAGUGCAGCUGCAGCCCUUAGCAUCCCUUGAUGAAGAGGAUGGCUAACUUGAGCUUAUUCAUAGAUAUCUCUUCACUCCUUGGGAACACCUGAGAUUGGAGUCUGAUCCCAGUUUGUUAUUAUAUUUUUUUUUCUCUCAGGUACAGCCAUGGGACAAAAGGGCAGAAACAUUUACCACUUACAUUGGCAGAUAUUGCUAAAUCUGGCCACAUAACAGCUUUGUGGGAACUUCUGCCAGCGAAUGGGAAAAAGCCAUGGGACGAAGGGGUGGGUACCAGUAAAUCUGGCCACAUAACAGGUUCAUGGAAACUUCUGCCAAUGAGUGGGCAAAUAAAAGAGUUACUUUAUCCCCAAGCUUUCUGCUAAAGCUGUGAAGAUCUCCCUCCCCAUUUCUGCCUCUACCACAUGCAACCUUUUCUAUCUGAAUUCUGCUGGCAGUGGGCAGGCUCAAAUGGGUGACUCUCGCCUUAACUCACCUUAACUUCUCCCACUCAUUUUCAAAUGCCUUGAGAAGUACAGACAGGUCUGGUAGUGGCUAAAAUCCAUACAAAUAAGUUUACAGUAGUUAGGAUGGCUCCUAAGACAAAAAUCAGCUUAUAGACUCAAGCAAGUCUUUUCAAAAGGAUCAGUUUAUAGUCUGCCUCCUGGCAGAUCUUCCAAAAGCUGUCCUUAAGCCAACAAUCAUCAGGAAUAAAAAUUUAGGACACAGAGUAAAAUCUGUCCCUUGUUCCCCAGACCUCCCUGACUAAAACUUUAGCAUCUGGAGAGCAAUGCUCCUGACCUCACAGGCAAAAGAGUCAUCUGUGGCAUUUAAGGUGUGCCAGGGAAGAGAUAAAAGCUCAAAAAAAUUGCCAAGUACUGGCACUCGCUGACUCCUGAAAGCUAAGCUGUUGGGUCCCUGUUUUAAGUAAGGAAAAAGGUCAUGGGCUAGCGAGGGCCCUGCCAGGCCAUCAGCAGCCUUGUUAAAAGUGCCACCUAGAAAGACAACCAGUCAGCUGACUGCCCCCCAGGCACCAAGAUGCAUGGGUACAUCAAGCUAAGAUCUUCAGCAGACCUAUGCUUGGCUACAGACAUGGUGGGGAACCCAGAAUGCAUCAGGGAAGUGAUCCGUUUCUUUCCUUCUGGACACCAAAACCACUGACUCGGUCCUGGGAGUUUGGGGAUGUCACCUUUCCUUUCUCUAUCGUCGGGUACAGAGGAUAGCCUUACCCACCUACAAAAAGAGACUUUAAUGUAAACAUCUAUUACUGUGAGAUACUUUUAACAAUUGAUCACCUGUCUCCUGGAUGCUGAACCAGUAAAGAAAACAGGUGCUUUAAAAUAAUCUGUCUCUGAUAAAGCUUAACAUGUUUCAAAAUCCAUCUGGACAGGCCAGUUCUACCUCAGAUAAAUGUCAACAUAAAAUAAUAAUGAUUCUUUUCUCUCUAACUUUUUUUUUCUGUGUCACUAGCAUCUUGUAAGACAGAAGGUUCCCAGCCUCAGCCAAGAGGGAUACAAGUCUCCAGAACAAUGGAUGGCAGACAGUAUCCCACAACGCCUGUCUACCUUGGAAGACUACCCUUCCCCAUUCCCCCAAGAGCCAACUGACAUAUAAUAGUCAGCUGGAAGCAGCUUUUGAGAGAAAUAAUGCCCCUAUUCCCAUAUACCUGCUUUUUUUGAAAAAUAGUAAGCAAAAGUCUGGGAUGUAAGGAUUAUGUCCUUAAUUAUGUCACCAGCCUGCGAUGGUGUCCCAGCCUAAAAAAUGGGCAUGCCCUCUCUGUGCCCUCUUUUUCCACACUCUCUCCUUCCAUAUUCUCUCCUCUCCAUGCGGCCUUUUUCACUCUCUCCUCUCUCUCUCUCUCUCUCUCUCUCUCUCUCUCUCUCUCUCUCUCUCUCUCUCUCACACACACACACACACACACACACUCUCUCUCUCUCUCUCUCUCUCUCUCUCUCUCUCUCUCUCUCUCUCUCUUUCUCUUGCAAUAAAGCUCAUAGAAAGGUAA